rnacentral:rRNA from 1 species
AUUGAACGCUGGCGGCAGGCUUAAAACAUGCAAGUCGAGCGCGAGGCGGACGGGCGGAUGGUGUCUGGGAACCUGCCUGACCGAGGGGGCUAAGUGCUGGAACCGGUAGCUACUACCGCUUACCAUCAGUUCUGCCGUGAGGGGAUUAGCUAGUAGGUGGGGUAAUGGCUCACCUUGGCGACGAUGCAUAGCUGGGCUGAGAGGAUGACCGGCCACACUGGAACUGAGACACGGUCCAGACUCCUACGGGAGGCAGCAGUGGGGAAUAUUCCACAAUGGGCGCAAGCCUGAUGCAGCCACGCCGCGUGUGUGAAGAAGGCCUUCGGGUUGUAAAACACUGUCGGCGGGGAGGCGUUACUCAAAGAAGAAGCACCGGCUAACUACGUGCCAGCAGCCGCGGUAAUAC